UGACAUAACAAACAUAUAGUGGGUAUUAACAUUUAGUAGCUAUAGUUUAAUUUAAUUACUUCUCAUAGCAAAUAUUUGUGUAUUAAUAUCAUUUAGUAACUAUAUAUAUAUAUACACACACAAAAUAGAAUACUCAUCCCACUAUUCACUUCCAACCCAUCUCUCACAUCUCUCUCCCCCCUCUUCUCCCCACUGCUCCGCCGCCGGCCACCGCCGCCGCCGGAGCUCCGGCGAUUGCCGCGCCCCUUCACCACCGUCACUGCCAGCCCCUUCCCCUUUUCCCUUUCUUCUCCGGUCGUACCCUUUUUUCCUUUCUUCUCCGGAGGCAAAAAGGAAAAAAAAACCAGAUCUAUGACGGAUCCGCUGGUCGGCGAAGCUCCGACGAAGUCCCUCCAAUCUCCGCCGUCCCCACCACGAAGAAUUCAAAAUGCCGAUGAGGGCACGCCGGAAAAGAACCUCAGAUCUAUGCCAGAGAAGAAGAAAAAACUCAGAUCUACGUCGGAAAAAAAAUUCGUCGUUGUAUUCGCUGGAAUUUUUUUCCGGUCAGAUCUGGAAAAAGUCUAGAUUUUCGCUGUAUUUGUUGUAUAUUUACCGUGUAUACAAUAUUUUUCGCUUGUAUUUGUUGUAUACAUACCGAAAAAUAUUUUCCGAUCAGAUCUGGAAAAAGUCUAGAUUUUCGCUGUAUUUGUUGUAUAUUUACCGUGUAUACAAAUUUUUCGUUUGUAUUUGUUGUAUACAUACCGAAAAAUAUGGCAUUUUUGUUAAUUUGUUGGUGUAUCUAUGUUGUAUACAGUAUUUUUCGCCUG